GACGGAGGGGGCUAGCGUUGUUCGGAAUUACUGGGCGUAAAGGGCUCGUAGGCGGCCAAUUAAGUCGGAUGUGAAAUCCCCAGGCUUAACCUGGGAACUGCAUCCGAUACUGGAUGGCUUGAAUCCGGGAGAGGGAUGCAGAAUUCCAGGUGUAGCGGUGAAAUGCGUAGAUAUCUGGAGGAAUACCGGUGGCGAAGGCGGCAUCCUGGACCGGCAUUGACGCUGAGGAGCGAAAGCUAGGGGAGCAAACAGG
rnacentral:rRNA from 1 species